rnacentral:rRNA from 1 species
ACGUAGGGGGCGAGCGUUGUCCGAAGUUACUGGGCGUAAAGCGCGCGUAGGCGGGGGGUUAAGUGGGAGGUGAAAGGCCGGGGCUCAACCCCGUGCAGUGCCUCCCAUACUGGCCUUCUUGAGGGCGGUAGGGAGAAGUGGAAUGGCUGGUGUAGCGGUGAAAUGCGUAGAGAUCCGGUAGAACACCGGUGGCGAAGGCGGCCCGCUGGGCAGGAAGACCCCGUGAGGGGUCGGCUGACGCUGAGGCGCGACAGCGUGGGGAGCAAACAGGA